AGCGCCCGAGGGGGCCCCGCGGUGCGGGCGCUUCGCGGCACCGGCGCCGCCGCUCCCGGGGGCCGGGGGGGCUCCCGGGGGGCGCCGGUGGGAGAGGGCAUCUGUCCCUCGCUCUCUCGCCCCCUCCCUCUGCCGAGGCUGAGGUGCGGCCGCGCUCGGGGCCGCCCGGCCGGAGCCCCGGGCUGCCGGCAGAGCCGGUCCGGCCGCCCGCGGCCUGGGGAAGCAGCGCGGUCGGGUCUCCCUCCAUGUUUGUUUCCUUCCCCAGGGGCAGACGGGCGGCCCGAGGCUUCCAGCCGGUGGUGCAGGAGCUGGAGGUGGGAUGGAGGUAGUGGCGUGAGGACCCCGCGCCAGCACCGACACAAUUAGGGAGAAAAGAGGCUGGAAUCGCGGGUGGUGCGCGCCUGUGGUCGCUCCCCAUGGCAGCUGCGGACCCCCAGGUCCUGGCCUUGGCUGCUCAGGUCACUGAGAGCGGGGAACAGGACAUCCCCCUGCUGCUGCUGAAGUUAAAGGGAAUUUUAAGUAGCCCUUCCUUGGGAUGUGAAGAAUCAAAAAAAAUUAAGCAAGAUAUAUAUGAUUAUGGUCUCACUCAGUACUGCUUGCUGGUCCUUAGGCAAGACCACUCUCGACUGCGGGGAGGCUGGGCCACUGCUGCCCAGCUAGCAGAGAUACUAAGUCAUUGUUGUGUAGGGCUAGAGAUGAAAGAAGAUCCUGAAGAAUUUUACAAGAAUUUUCUUCCUUCAGCUGUAGACAACCUGCUGGUCUUGGGAAAACGCUUGCAAGUGCGAUUUGUCCGAGCAAUCAAGGAUAAAGAAAAACAAGAUUUUUUACACUGGUUCCAGACAGUAACCGAUGCCAUCUGCUGGCUGUUUGGUGGGCACAUUCAACUAGCAGCGUGUGUACUGCAAAAUGAUCGCUUCCUGCAGCUGUUAAUAACAGAUGAUGUUGAAACAGCAGUUAUAAUGAUGGCUGUUUUACACAAUAUUUUGAGGAUCAAUAGUUCUGUCUUCCUUCAAGUUGAUAAAGUGACCCUUCACUCUAUUUUGGAUGAGCUUGUUUAUAAGCUUUCAGCUACCACCAAUCCUGCUGUUGGAAGUGCUGCCACAAAACUGCUGUUGGUGGUGGCAAAAUUGAGCAAACAGCUUGUGCAGUUACUCACAGCUCGCUACAAAGGAUUAAAAGGGCUUUUAAAUAAACAGUGGACUGGCAAAGGAUUUGACAGGGAGCUCAAUCAGCUCUUGGACGUGCUGUAUUUGGAACAAUCCAAUGGAAAAGGAGAAAUGCAGAAGCAGCAUCAAGCAGCUUGUAUAAUCCAGGCUACGUGGAGGGGAUUUCAGACAAGGAAAAGGCUGAAAAAGCUACCCCAAGCAGUGACCACGUUACAGAGAAGCUUCAGAGCUAAACGGGAACAGGAGCUGCAACACUUAGCAAAACAGAAGGAAGAUGAGGCUCUAAAACUGCAAAUGCAACUUCAGAGACAGAGGGCCAUGAGACUCUUCCAUGAACGACAGCUGGCCUUGCUGGAAAGAGUCCAUGCCAGUCAGGUAAAUAAAUACAUGGAGGAAAUGGAGGAUAAAUCAGCAUUAACUAUCCAGAGAUUCUGGCGAGGGUAUAGAGCAAGAAGAAUUUUUCAUCAACAGAAACAAUCUCUUAAGGAGUAUAAAGCAGCUGUCAUCAUUCAGAGAACAGCUUGUAAAUUCUUGGAAAAACGAAGAAGGAGGAGACCCCUCUCUCCUUGGAAAGAACCCAAGGGACUGACUGAUGAGCAGAGACUAGCUUUGCAGCAGAAGGUGGAUGACUACAUCAAAUUGCAUCCGGCUUCCCAAAUGUCAGAAGAAAUGAGUAAAGAAUUACACAUGCAGGCUCAGGAAAAGCUGGCACAGUUCCUGUUGAGGAGCAGGCUGGAUCAGAGAGCAGCGCAGAGGAGAGAGACAUUACUGGCUCAGGUCAACACCGAUGUGGAGCUGCUAAUGAAUGCUCCGGGAUUAGCAGAGACCACAGAAAAAGAUAUUGGUGUCUUUGUGAGUCGGUCAGUCCCUGUAGCUACCAAGGCAAGACAAUCCCACAACACUAUGCUGAAAUACACUCACUGGCCAUGGUGGAAGAAGCUUGGAGAUGAGUUUAUGGAGGAUGAUACACUUCCUGAUGAGGCCCUAAAUACAGAACUGGAAACUCUCUUUAUUGGUGGAAGAAAAUCCUUAAAGUAAAAAGCAGAAGAAUUCCAUAUUCAGCCAGACUCAUACCUUGCACUAUGCACUUACUUUUUUGUAUUUUUAAGGAAGGAAAACAUUUGAAAAAGACUAAAAAAUACCAAAGCCUCAUUUUAGUAUAUUUUACUUGGAUUCUUGGAAAGAAUCCCUUCCUGUACAUCAACAGUUGGAUCCUAUUGAUCUGGUUGCAAAUAGGAUUUAAAUACUGUAGUUGUAAAUGAGGAUAUUUUGUGAUUUGUAUCACUUUAAAGGUAAGUUCAUAACCUUUGUCUUUUCAAUUCUUAUUCACACUGGGAUGCAUAAAAAAUCAAACCUGGGCUUUUAUAGCAAAAUAUUUUUAUCAGGUGAUGUGCUUUGAAAUAAAGAUGGGUUCAGAACAAAACAAGAAAGCAAUACAAAAUCAAACAAACAAUAAACAGUCUGGGUGCUUUCUCUGUAUUCCUCCCAGGCUACCUCUCCUUGCUUCCACCUUCUUGUAAGCUCCCUCUUGUUUGAGUUUGUGCAGAAGUUUCAUUUUCAUCCAUGAAGGCCUCAUGGUGUUUUUAUCUGACUUGCUUUUUGUUGGGAUGUAUUGCCCCUGAGCUUGGAGAAGAAGGUGAUCCUUUAAUAUUAACCAGCUUUCUUGGGCCCAUCUUCCCUCCAGGGCUUUAUUCCAUGGUACUCUACCAAGCAGGUCCCUCCAGAGGUCAGUCUGCUCUCCUGAAGUCCAGGGUAGUGAGCUUGCUGUGCACCCCAUUGCCAGCCUUAGGGUCUUGAACUCCACCAUUUCAUGGUCACUGCAGCCAAGGCAGCCCUUGAGCUUCACAUUCCUCACCAGCUCCUCCCUGGUGGUGAGAACAAGCUACAGAACUGCACCUCUCCUUGUUGUCUCCUCUGUCUCUUGGAGAAGGAAGUUAUCAUCAGUGCAUUUGGGAACCUCCUGGAUUGCUUGUUCCUUGCUGUGUUGUCCCUCUAACAGGUAUCGGGGUGGUUUAAGUACCCCAUGAGGACCAGGGCUUGUGAAUGUGAGACUGUUCCUUUCUGUCUGUAGAGGGCUUCACCAGCUUGGUUUUCCUGUUGGGGCAGCCUAUAGCAGACCACCACUAUAAUGUCACCACUCCCUGCACUCCCUUUAAUCCUGACCCGUAAACUCUGUCAGCUCCUCAUCCAUCUCCAGAGCAAGCUCCAUGUACUCCAGUUGGUCACUGACAUAGAAGGCAACAACCUCACCUCAUCUCCCCUGCCUGUCCUUCCUAGAGAGCCUUUGUCCUUCCAUUCCAAGAGCCCAGUCAGAGAAGCCAUCCCUCUCUUCUCUGUGAUGUCAAUAAGGUCACAGCCCUACAGGUGUGUAUAUCUCUCUAACUCCUCUUGUUUAUUCCCCAUGCUGUGUGCAUUUGCACAGGGACAUUGAAGUUGGGUCCCUGGUGAGACUUGACUCACUGGCUGGAGUGGCUGCAAUUCCUUUGUGCUGCUCUUCAGGUGCUCUUCUGCACACUUGUGCUCCCUAUCCAGACUCUAGGCUUCUCUUGCUGGCUCUGGCAUCAAACUGGAACAAGUGGGAUGGAUGGAGGUUCCUCUCCCCUGGCAACUGUAGUUUAAAGCCCUCUUCACCAGCUGGGCAAGCCUGUGACUGAAGAUGCUCUGCCCGAUGGACCCAUGAGCCCCCAGCAGCCCAGGUUCCUUGAGACUAAUAGGUCAUCAGUGCUCCCUUGGGCUGCUUUUCUCCUUUAAAAGCCUGCAGUUCUUCCCACAGCCAGUGCAGUGCACGGGAGCAUGGGCACAGUCCAAACUCCUACGUGGGAUUGUAGCCUCAGUGUGACCAUCUGGACCAUCAGCUCUGUCUUCUUAAACCAUGCAGAAGUUGUUUAAUCCAGAAAGGUCUCCAGCCCAGGGCCUCUGCAGUCACUGUGGCCCAGAAGACAGUAAACACCUCCAGUCAGGGGCUGAAGGAUCCUGCCCAGAACAAGAACUUGAGACUGCACUAGUGCCACAGGCAGAGCAAGCCAGAAAGGAGCCACUAAAUGCCGAGGCAGAGCUGGGAGAUGUUCUCAAAUGCCAGUUGCUGUGGCCAGCUUGGAGCCUGGGCCCAGAAAAAGAGACCUCCAGGCUCCCUUGCGGGGAGGGAUUUGGCAUAGCUUAACUCAUCGUCUUUUCGAGUCCUGCACUGUGUGCACCAGGACAUGUUGCUGGCAUUUUAUUUCACUGCAGCUCUUUCUGGAAUAAAGUACGCCUGAAUAAUAGGAACAGCUGAACAGAAGCCAUCUCCAGCUUGCUACCAGCUAUACAGGAGUGUUAUUGCUUCAGCUUCAGCAGCAGCAGACAAUCUGGAAAACAAAAUCCUCUGGUGGAUAUGGAUAAAAUGGAAGGGACGGUGACUGUUCUUCUGCCAAAGGUGCCACCAAAGUCAUGGAGCUGGAAGAAGGCAGCAAAGGAACAAAAUAAACAAACAAAGAAUUACUCAGCCCUUUCAGAGACAGAGACAAGGCAGUGUCCUCUGCUGGCUCCUGAAAUUGAGGAAAAUUCCUGUUUAUGCAGACAGAUUUUUUUUUCAGCUGUAGCUGUAACUGGACUCUGAAAACAACAGGAUGCUCAUCUCCAGCAGAGACACAGGCAUGCGCUCAAGACUGUGCUGCUGAGUCCAAGGGCGUCUCCUGGCCUUUCAGACUGGCUGUAACAGGAGCUCUGAGCUGAGGACAGGAGAUAACCCUGAUGCUAUUUCACCCUUUGCCUCUGAUCCUUCUAUGGCCGAUUUCCAUGGGAGCAGAAUCUGGUACAAGCAUCUGCUCUCCACUGCAGAGUAUCACGUAUAUCGAGUACAGGGAGAAAUGAAAGCUUUCUCCUAGUAGCAGAAUCGGGGCUAUUUAUAAAUUAUCCUUCAUCAUAAAAGGAGGCAGCUCUUUGCAGGGGGAGCUGCAAAGACCAUUGCAAAACAGGCCUCCAAGUUCUUCUUAUCCUUCUUUACAGCACAAUAGCACCAGGUCAUCCUCCAGGCAUCCUUGUGUACAGUGAAGAACCCUUUAAUAAAGAGAUUGUUUACUACAUGAGUGAUAUAAGGGCCAGACUGACCAAGGGGAACUGAAGGACAGUUGCCUCCCAUCCCUUCUCCGCUGCUCUCCCUGAAGGUAGGGCUGGGUUUACUCCAGAUGCUGUCUUGGGACAGAAUGACAAAGUCUGGCAGGUGAGGACCAAGGUCAGGACAUCGCAGCUCUGGCAAUUUUUCCCAGUUGUGCUGGAGAACUCCUCUGUGACCUUGAGCACACAUUGUUUCUCUCUUUUCCUCUCGCAGAUGAGGCUUAUUGUUGCAUUUGUAAUUUAAGAGCCUUCAGUGGAGGAUGCUGUGAGACCAGUACCACUGAAAUCUCUGAAUGGGAGGUACUAAGCUGAAAUGGGAGUUUGACAGGCCCUGGAAAGAAAAAAUACUUGUAUAAUCAGAUGUUGAGCACAUAGAAAGAGCUCAAGGUUGCCAUGCUAUUUAUUUCUCUCCACAUUCAACUUUUCUCUGCAGAAUUUAGUUCUUCUCCACUUACAUCCUCAAACAGAAGCAAUGUCUUUACCUGGGC